UUACCGGAGCCUGUAUGUACCGGUGAAAAAUCCACCAUCCAUCAAUGCUUCCAGAUGUGUGCGGGUGGACCCCACAAACUUUCUUUUUCCACCUCUGAUUCAGGAUACGAGACCUAUACAGAUGCAAUACGAGAUGGACCCCAUGACAGAGAAAUAUCAAGCCCCCGCCGCUGUUUCCUUCCCACAUCGAGCUAUGUUCCCCCUCUCUCUCGUGAGUUCCACGCCGGCCACCGCCUCUAGUAGAUCUGGCUUCUCCAUCAACCUCCGGCAGCGAAUCCGGCUUCCGCAGAUGUCACCUACCAUAGGAGAACACAGGCAGGACCAGUGGCAUGGCUGUACCACGAGGCCGGUGAGGAGCGACGCCGAAUCAUGCCGGCGGACAAGGGGUACACUGCGAUGGGUGUUGGGGGGGGGCGAGCUGCUCCGGCAAGGUUCCACCACAAAGGCCACCCACCACGACGGGUCACUGUGCACUGGCGUCGCUGGAUCCGGCGACUCCAUGUAUGACCGCAACCGGAUUUGAUAUCUCAUGUCUAGGAACAAGACGAUUCGGUGCCCCUCGCAGUCUAUCGAAGAAGAGAUUUAUCUAUGUUUCUUUUCGGUGGAGUUGAGUCGUAGAAAGCCGUACUAUUAAGAGGGGGUCCGCUUCGGAAAGGUUAGGGUGGAAUCAACACAUACACAUCUGUUCCUUUGCACCACCUUUCCUUGCAUCAUUGGAGCACCGGUUGUUUCCCUUGUCA